UACGAAGGUGGCAAGCGUUGUUCGGAUUCACUGGGCGUACAGGGAGCGUAGGCGGUUGGGUAAGCCCUCCGUGAAAUCUCCGGGCCUAACCCGGAAAGUGCAGAGGGGACUGCUUGGCUUGAGGACGGGAGAGGAGCGCGGAAUUCCCGGUGUAGCGGUGAAAUGCGUAGAGAUCGGGAGGAAGGCCGGUGGCGAAGGCGGCGCUCUGGAACGUUUCUGACGCUGAGGCUCGAAAGCGUGGGGAGCAAAC
rnacentral:rRNA from 1 species